AGUAUGAUUAUAUAUUCCUGUAUUUUAAUAUGCCUAGUUAUUUUGGAUUUUGUCCUCGAUAAGACAAGUAACAUAUUGCAAAGACUCUGGAUUCUAUAAUGUUCUACUGAAGAAUAUCAAUUUGUCUUGUUCUGUUUGUUUCAGGGAGCAGUUAACUUGGCUGAACUCAAAUGACAGCUCUGAAAUCUUUCAAUGUUGUAGACUUACAUAGCACCACAUGGAGUUUCCUAGCACGCCUGCCCUGCUGCUCCUGCAAGAAGGCACACUGGUGGGCAUGCGCUGUCCCAACAAUCAGACAGAAAGAACCUUGACUUUCUUCUGCUCCUUGGCCUGCCCCUCCCGCCACUCACCCUGGUCCUUGCUGUCUUCUGAAACCUGAAAACCAACACUUCACUCUGGCCAAACCCCUUGUUCUGCUCACUUUCCACUUCACUGAGGUGACAAUGCUUGGCCCAGUCUUUGGUUUAAAGUUCCAAAGAAUGUAAACAUAACAGAAGGUCAAACAUCCCUCCCAUGGAGAGACCUGUAUUAUUUUUAUUUCCUUUAUCAUAACCAGAAUCUUCUGUUUUAGGCUUACAAGAACCACAGGAUUAUCAGGAACAGUUUUCUGAUGUCUCAUAAAGAGAAGGGAGGACUUGGCCACCCAGCAUGGUGGUUAAGAGCAUGAAAUCUAGAGUCAACAACACGAGGCCAUGCCUAGGUCCCACCCUGCUCAGCUGUGGAGCCCAAAACAACUCACUCCCUGCUCCUUGGGCCUUGCUUCACUCGUCUGCAACUGGGGACGGUCAACCCGACCUCACUGGCUUGCUGUGAGGAUUUUAGCAAGAUCAUGCCUGUAAAAACUUCACACAGUAACAUCAUGAGCUCACUGAAUGCUACCAUUGUCAGCAGGGCUAGCGUUUAAAUUUGAACCAAGAAGGCUUACCUAAGAUUCUCACCUGGGAAGGAUUUGGAAUUAGUUACAGGUGGUUGGUUUCUCAACUCUGGGAAUGUACUAAAUGCCAUGAGCUGUUUGCAUUAAAAAUGGUAAUUUUAAAAUAA